GGCCCGGUAGCGGAUGGUUUGCGCACCUGCGUUCAAUACUAAAACGAAGUCUCGCAAGACACGCUUGUUCGAAUCGAGCCUGGGCCA